rnacentral:misc_RNA from 1 species
GAUGAAGAACGCAGCAAAAUGCGAUAAGUAAUGUGAAUUGCAGAAUUCAGUGAAUCAUCGAGUCUUUGAACGCACAUUGCGCCCCCUGGUAUUCCGGGGGGCAUGCCUGUCCGAGCGUCAUUGCUGCCCUCAAGCACGGCUUGUGUGUUGGGCUUCCGUCCCUGGCAACGGGGACGGGCCCAAAAGGCAGUGGCGGCACCAUGUCUGGUCCUCGAGCGUAUGGGGCUUUGUCACCCGCUCCCGUAGGUCCAGCUGGCAGCUAGCCUCGCAACCAAUCUUUUUAACCAGGUUGACCUCGGAUCAGGUAGGGAUACCCGCUGAACUUAAGCAUAUCAAUAAGCGGAGGA